GACGAACGCUGGCGGCGUGCUUAACACAUGCAAGUCGAACGGUGAAGCGCCUUCCUUUUUGGUGGGUGUGGAUGAGUGGCGAACGGGUGAGUAACACGUGAGUAACCUGCCCCCUUCUUCUGGAUAACCGCAUGAAAGUGUGGCUAAUACGGGAUAUUCUGGGUCUGUCGCAUGAUGGGUCUGGGAAAGAUAUUGUUUCGGUGGGGGAUGGGCUCGCGGCCUAUCAGCUUGUUGGUGGGUGAUGGCCUACCAAGGCGGUGACGGGUAGCCGGCCUGAGAGGGUGGACGGUCACACUGGGACUGAGACACGGCCCAGACUCCUACGGGAGGCAGCAGUGGGGAAUACUGCACAAUGGGCGCAAGCCUGAUGCAGCGACGCCGCGUGAGGGAUGGAGGCCUUCGGGUUGUGAACCUCUUUCGCCAGUGAAGCAGGCCUGCCUCGUUUGUGGGUGGGUUGACGGUAGCUGGAUAAGAAGCGCCGGCUAACUACGUG
rnacentral:rRNA from 1 species